AAUUCCCCAGCCCAGGUCCUCCUCUCACCCCGCCGGGUUUUCAAGGCGGGCUGUAACUGGUGGCAUUUGUCCCGGGACCAGGUCCACAGUUUUAUAUGUGAGCAAGAUGGAGGCUGACCCAUCUGGCUUUAACAUCGAUGCCCCCCGUUGGGACCAGCGCACCUUCCUGGGGAGAGUGAAGCACUUCCUAAACAUCACGGACCCCCGCACUGUCUUUGUAUCUGAGCGAGAGCUGGACUGGGCCAAGGUGAUGGUGGAGAAGAGCAGGAUGGGGGUUGUGCCCCCAGGCACCCAAGUGGAGCAGCUGCUGUAUGCCAAGAAGCUAUAUGACUCGGCCUUCCACCCCGACACUGGGGAGAAGAUGAAUGUCAUCGGGCGCAUGUCUUUCCAGCUCCCUGGCGGCAUGAUCCUCACGGGCUUCAUGCUCCAGUUCUACAGGACUAUGCCGGCGGUGAUCUUCUGGCAGUGGGUGAACCAGUCCUUUAAUGCCUUAGUCAACUACACCAACAGGAAUGCGGCUUCCCCCACAUCAGUCAGGUAGGAGACCUGAGCCCCAGGCUGUCCUCGUGUCUUCCCACGAACAG
rnacentral:sRNA from 1 species